rnacentral:rRNA from 1 species
UGGGGAAUCUUGCCCAAUGGGCGCAAGCCUGAGGCAGCAACGCCGCGUGCGGGAAGAAGGCCUUCGGGUUGUAAACCGCUUUCAGCAGGAACGAAAAUGACGGUACCUGCAGAAGAAGGUGCGGCCAACUACGUGCCAGCAGCCGCGGUGACACGUAGGCACCAAGCGUUGUCCGGAUUUAUUGGGCGUAAAGAGCUCGUAGGCGGUUCGGUAAGUCGGGUGUGAAAACUUUGGGCUCAACCCAAAGCCUGCAUUCGAUACUGCUGUGACUUGAGUCCGGUAGGGGAGUGGGGAAUUCCUGGUGUAGCGGUGGAAUGCGCAGAUAUCAGGAGGAACACCGGUGGCGAAGGCGCCACUCUGGGCCGGUACUGACGCUGAGGAGCGAAAGCGUGGGGAGCGAACA